CCUACGGGUGGCAGCAGUGAGGAAUAUUGGUCAAUGGGCGGAAGCCUGAACCAGCCAAGUCGCGUGAGGGAUUAAGGCCCUGCGGGUCGUAAACCUCUUUUGCCGGGGAGCAGAGGUCCGGACGUGUCCGGGCCGGGAGAGUACCCGGAGAAAAAGCAUCGGCUAACUCCGUACCAGCAGCCGCGGUAAUACGGAGGAUGCGAGCGUUAUCCGGUUUUAUUGGGUUUAAGGGGUGCGUAGGCGGGCAUUUAAGCCGGCGGUCAAAUGUCGGGGCUCAACCCCGGCCUGCCGCUGGAACUGGGUGCCUAGAGUGGACGUGAAGUAUGCGGAAUGCGUGGUGUAGCGGUGAAAUGCAUAGAGAUCACACAGAACCCCGAUUGCGAAGGCAGCAUACCGGCGCCCUACUGACGCUGAGGCACGAAAGUGCGGGUAUCGAACAGGAUUAGAUACCCCUGUAGUC
rnacentral:rRNA from 1 species